rnacentral:rRNA from 1 species
GACGAACGCUGGCGGCGUGCUUAACACAUGCAAGUCGAACGGAAAGGCCCUGCUUUUGUGGGGUGCUCGAGUGGCGAACGGGUGAGUAACACGUGAGUAACCUGCCCUUUACUUUGUGAUAACUUCAGGAAACUGGGGCUAAUACCGGAUAGGAUCUCCUGCUGCAUGGUGGGGGUUGGAAAGUUUCGGCGGUUGGGGAUGGACUCGCGGCUUAUCAGCUUGUUGGUGGGGUAGUUGCUUACCAAGGCUUUGACGGGUAGCCGGCCUGAGAGGGUGACCGGCAAAAUUGGGACUGAGAUAAGGACAAGACUCGAACGGGAGGCAGCAGUGGGGAAUAUUGCACAAUGGGAGGAAGCCUGAGGAAGAAACGCGGCGUGCGGGAUGACGGCCUUCGGGUUGUAAAACGAUUUCGACUGUGACGAAGAGUGAGUGACGGUAAUGGGUAAAGAAGGACCGGCUAACUACGUG